AUGGGGGGAACCCUGACCGAGCAACGCCGCGUGAGUGAAGAAGGUUUUCGGAUCGUAAAGCUCUGUUGUUAAGGAAGAACGAGUGUGAGAAUGGAAAGUUCAUACUGUGACGGUACUUAACCAGAAAGGGACGGCUAACUACGUGCCAGCAGCCGCGGUAAUACGUAGGUCCCGAGCGUUGUCCGGAUUUAUUGGGCGUAAAGCGAGCGCAGGCGGUUAGAAAAGUCUGAAGUGAAAGGCAGUGGCUCAACCAUUGUAGGCUUUGGAAACUGUUUAACUUGAGUGCAGAAGGGGAGAGUGGAAUUCCAUGUGUAGCGGUGAAAUGCGUAGAUAUAUGGAGGAACACCGGUGGCGAAAGCGGCUCUCUGGUCUGUAACUGACGCUGAGGCUCGAAAGCGUGGGGAGCGAACAGGAUUAGAUACCCUGGUAGUCCACGCCGUAAACGAUGAGUGCUAGGUGUUAGGUCCUUUCCGGGACUUAGUGCCGCAGCUAACGCAUUAAGCACUCCGCCUGGGGAGUACGACCGCAAGGUUGAAACUCAAAGGAAUUGACGGGGGCCCGCACAAGCGGUGGAGCAUGUGGUUUAAUUCGAAGCAACGCGAAGAACCUUACCAGGUCUUGACAUCCGAUGCUAUU
rnacentral:rRNA from 1 species